UACGUAGGGCGCAAGCGUUGUCCGGAAUUAUUGGGCGUAAAGAGCUCGUAGGCGGCUUGUCACGUCGGAUGUGAAAGCCCGGGGCUUAACUCCGGGUCUGCAUUCGAUACGGGCUGGCUAGAGUGUGGUAGGGGAGAUCGGAAUUCCUGGUGUAGCGGUGAAAUGCGCAGAUAUCAGGAGGAACACCGGUGGCGAAGGCAGGUCUCUGGGCAUUAACUGACGCUGAGGAGCGAAAGCAUGGGGAGCGAACAGG
rnacentral:rRNA from 1 species